rnacentral:rRNA from 1 species
GAACGCUGGCGGCAUGCCUUACACAUGCAAGUCGAACGGCAGCACGGACUUCGGUCUGGUGGCGAGUGGCGAACGGGUGAGUAAUGUAUCGGAACGUACCUUCAGUGGGGAUAACGUAGCGAAAGUUACGCUAAUACCGCAUAUUCUGUGAGCAGGAAAGCAGGGGAUCGCAAGACCUUGCGCUGAUUGAGCGGCCGAUAUCAGAUUAGCUAGUUGGUGAGGUAAAGGCUCACCAAGGCGACGAUCUGUAGCGGGUCUGAGAGGAUGAUCCGCCACACUGGAACUGAGACACGGUCCAGACUCCUACGGGAGGCAGCAGUGGGGAAUUUUGGACAAUGGGGGCAACCCUGAUCCAGCCAUGCCGCGUGAGUGAAGAAGGCCUUCGGGUUGUGAAGCUCUUUCGGCCGGGAAGAAAUCGCAUGGGCUAAUACCCUGUGCGGAUGACGGUACCGGCAUAAGAAGCACCGGCUAACUACGUG